GUGUCAGCAGCCGCGGUAAUACGAGUGGUGCAAGCGUUAUUCGGAAUCAUUGGGCGUAAAGGGUGUGUAGACGGUAUGCUAAGUCAGUUGUUUAAUUAUCCGGCCUAACCGGAGGCCAGCAGCAGAAACUGGUAUGGUAGAGGGUGGAAGAGAGGAGUGGAAUUCUCGGAGUAGCGGUAAAAUGCGUAGAUCUCGAGAGGAACACCAAUGGCGAAGGCAGCUUCUUGGUCCAUACCUGACGUUGAGACACGAGAGCGUGGGGAGCAAACAGGAUUAGAUACCCUCGUAGUCC
rnacentral:rRNA from 1 species